GGAGGUCCAUAUCUCAGUGGUAGAGCAUCUGUUUUGCUUGCAGAAGGUCCCAUGUUCAAUUCCUGACAUUUCCA